GCAGUCGGAUGUGUCGCAAGACACAUGGCAGACGGGUGAGUAACACGUGGGAAACUUACCUCUUAGUGGGGAAUAACGCUCCGAAAGGAGCGGUAAUACCGCAUGAGACCUAUCGCUGGGAUGCGAUAGAUGAAAGCUGGGGAUCGUAAGACCUAGCGCUGAGAGAGAGUCCUGCGUCUGAUUAGUUAGUUGGUGAGGUAACGGCUCACCAAGACUUCGAUCAGUAGCCGGCCUGAGAGGGCGAUCGGCCACACUGGAACUGAGACACGGUCCAGACUCCUACGGGAGGCAGCAGUGGGGAAUCUUGCGCAAUGGGCGAAAGCCUGACGCAGCAACGCCGCGUGGGUGAUGAAGGUCUUCGGAUUGUAAAACCCUGUCGUUAGGGACGAAGGCAUGAAUCCUAAUACGGUUCAUGUUUGACGGUACCUAGAAAGGAAGCCCCGGCUAACUCUGUGCCAGCAGCCGCGGUAAUACAGAGGGGGCAAGCGUUAUUCGGAAUUAUUGGGCGUAAAGGGUGCGUAGGCGGUUUUUUAAGUCAGAUGUGUAAUCCCCGAGCUCAACUUGGGAACUGCAUCUGAAACUGGAAGACUAGAGUGCUGGAGAGGAUGGUGGAAUUCCACGUGUAGCGGUGAAAUGCGUAGAGAUGUGG
rnacentral:rRNA from 1 species